GACGGAGGAUGCAAGCGUUAUCCGGAAUUAUUGGGCGUAAAGCGUCCGCAGGUGGCUGUUCAAGUCUGCUGUCAAAGCCCGGGGCUUAACUUCGGAAAGGCAGUGGAAACUGAACAGCUAGAGUAUGGUAGGGGCAGAGGGAAUUCCUGGUGUAGCGGUGAAAUGCGUAGAGAUCAGGAAGAACAUCGGUGGCGAAGGCGCUCUGCUGGACCAUAACUGACACUCAGGGACGAAAGCUAGGGGAGCGAAUGGG
rnacentral:rRNA from 1 species